rnacentral:lncRNA from 10 species
GUAUCCCACCAAGUUGGGGUUGUCGGGAAUGUCCCGCCCCUCCACCACAUCUUUCAGGCCUCAGUUUCCCCUCUGUGAAAUGAGUUCCCUCCAGCUCUGAUGGGGCCGUCUGUGGAGGAGGCUAGAGACUGUAGCUUUGUCUUGUCACUGAUCUGCUAUGUGGCCUGGGCCUCAGUUUCCUCAUCUGUAAAAUGGGCUUGGAUGUGGACGUGCCAAGACCUCCAAAGCCCCACUGUGAGUCUUUGAUUUUGUGUGGGAUCCCAGGGCAUCCCCUGGCACUUG